rnacentral:rRNA from 1 species
GACGAACGCUGGCGACGUGCUUAACACAUGCAAGUCGAGCGGUAAGGCCCUUUCGGGGGUACACGAGCGGCGAACGGGUGAGUAACACGUGGGUGACCUGCCCUCAGCUCUGGGAUAAGCCUGGGAAACCGGGUCUAAUACCGGAUAUGACUCCAUGACGCAUGUUGUGGGGUGGAAAGCCUUGUGCGGCUGAGGAUGGGCCCGCGGCCUAUCAGCUUGUUGGUGGGGGAUGGCCUACCAAGGCGACGACGGGUAGCCGGCCUGAGAGGGCGACCGGCCACACUGGGACUGAGACACGGCCCAGACUCCUACGGGAGGCAGCAGUGGGGAAUCUUGCGCAAUGGGCGAAAGCCUGACGCAGCGACGCCGCGUGAGGGAUGACGGCCU